ACAUGCCUACAACAUAACAUUAAUACAUUGGAUCCCAUUAUAGCUGCGUAGUUAAGCGCACUCAGGCUAGAGUAGUACUUGGAUGGAUGACCUCCGAGGAAGUCCUAGUAUUUUACAUGCC
rnacentral:rRNA from 1 species